rnacentral:rRNA from 1 species
CGAUGGCGACCGGCGCACGGGUGAGUAACACGUAUCCAACCUGCCGACAACACUGGGAUAGCCUUUCGAAAGAAAGAUUAAUACCGGAUGGCAUAGUUUUCCCGCAUGGGAUAAUUAUUAAAGAAUUUCGGUUGUCGAUGGGGAUGCGUUCCAUUAGGCAGUUGGCGGGGUAACGGCCCACCAAACCAACGAUGGAUAGGGGUUCUGAGAGGAAGGUCCCCCACAUUGGAACUGAGACACGGUCCAA